rnacentral:rRNA from 1 species
AACGAACGCUGGCGGCGUGCUUAACACAUGCAAGUCGAACGGACUCUUCGGAGUUAGUGGCGGACGGGUGAGUAAUACAUAGGUAAUCUGCCUUUAAGUGGGGGACAACUAGCCGAAAGGUUGGCUAAUACCGCAUAAUAUUGUGAGUUGAGAUAUUCACAAGGAAAGAUUUAUCACUUUUAGAGGAGCCUAUGCUCGAUUGGCUAGUUGGUAGGGUAAUGGCUUACCAAGGCGACGAUCGAUAGCUGGUCUGAGAGGACGAUCAGCCACACUGGGACUGAGACACGGCCCAGACUUCUACGGAAGGCAGCAGUGGGGAAUUUUCCGCAAUGGGCGAAAGCCUGACGAGCGACGCCGCGUAUGGGAUGAAGUAUUUAGGUAUGUAAACCAUUGUCAGUGGGGGCGAAAACAAAUGACAGUACCCACAGAGGAAGCAUCGGCUAACUACGUGCCAGCAGCCG